rnacentral:lncRNA from 1 species
AGUGCAGCUUAUUAGCAGUGGUAUAAAUGGGACCGGCCAGUGGACGUUGGUUUCAGUUAGAAUUGUUCUUUCAGUCUACCAAAAAGCAAAACGAAAUGCGCGUCUUCAUUCUUGUUGCUCUGCUGGCGCUGGUCGCUGUAGCUACCGCCCAGGGACCUUCGUCUGGUGGUCCGCGCGGUGGUCCGCGCGGUGGUCCGGGGGGGCCACCCCCUCUUGGACCCGGAGGUCCUGGAGGUCCUGGAGGACCACCUGGUGGUCAUGGCCCGAGCGGUAAUUCUUCCGAGGCUCCACCACCAUCCGAUGCUCCACCAUCCGAUGACGCCACCUCCGAGGCUUCAGACUCCGGUUCUUCCUAGACGGGAGGAGAUCCCUUCUGCAGCUCCACAAAUUCUUUAGCAAACAAAAUAAAGAGCUUGUCGCACAUAUUGAAAUCAGAAAAUAUCCACUCAACAUCUGAGAGUAUCGGUUUUCGCACUGAAACUCAAGAGUCCUCUCAAAGGGUGGU